CAAAGCAGCCAUGUCAAGUGGCAAAAAAAGCGAUGUGAACUAAUUGCAGUGAAGAAGGGGCAGUUAUUUCGAGAUAUACAGUGUUUAAGUCAGCGGAUUUGUUUAUAAAUGACAGUCGGCAUUGUACCUUAUUUAGGCGCUGUUGAAGGUGGUCAGCAUUAUGUUUCUUUUAUGCGGGUAACAACAUUACUGGGACAGUUUGACAUCGAUGUCCUAAGAACGGAAUACUCAAACUGAACCUGCUUCGCGUUUUAUGUGAGCCAGUAGUUUGUGCUGGAGAAAACGAGCCAAUGAUGUCAGGAAAGCAUUACAAGGGUCAAGAAGUCAGCUGCUGCAUUAAAUAUUUCAUAUUUGGAUUUAACAUAAUAUUUUGGUUGCUUGGAGUGGCUUUCCUUGGAAUCGGACUGUGGGCAUGGAAUGAGAAGGGAGUUCUCUCGAAUAUCUCCUCCAUCACAGAUCUGGGUGGAUUUGACCCAGUGUGGUUGUUUUUGGUGGUGGGAGGGGUGAUGUUCAUCCUGGGUUUUGCAGGCUGUAUCGGGGCCCUGAGGGAAAACACCCUCCUGCUCAAGUUUUUUUCUGUGUUUCUGGGGAUAAUCUUCUUCCUGGAGCUGACUGCCGGAAUCCUGGCUUUUGUCUUUAAAGACUGGAUUAAAGAUCAGCUCAACUUUUUCAUCAACAACAACAUACGAGCCUACAGAGAUGACAUUGAUUUGCAGAACCUGAUCGACUUCACUCAGGAAUAUUGGGAAUGUUGUGGGGCGUUUGGAGCAGAUGACUGGAACCUCAACAUCUACUUCAAUUGCACAGACAGCAACCCCAGCCGAGAAAAAUGUGGCGUGCCCUUCUCUUGUUGCACCAAAGACCCAGCGGAGGAUGUUAUCAACACACAGUGUGGGUAUGACGUCCGAGCAAAAUCAGAUGCAGAACAGAAAACAUACAUUCAUGUGAAAGGCUGUGUGCCGCAGUUUGAGAAAUGGCUACAGGACAACCUGACGAUAGUGGCUGGGAUCUUCAUUGGAAUCGCGCUGCUGCAGAUAUUUGGAAUAUGCCUUGCACAAAAUUUAGUCAGCGAUAUUGAAGCUGUGAGAGCCAGCUGGGUGCCGCCCCUCUCUUACGUCGCCCGCCGCCCUCCGCCCCACUACAGCAAGAAAGCCUCGGCGUACUCCUGAGGGAGGCGUUCGUCUGUUUGUUCACAUGAAGUGGCAGCUAGUCGUUCAGACACUCACAGAAACAUCUCAUCUCCUCUCCGAUGAUGCGUUUACUGGCGUGAGGGCGGGGCAACCUGUCACUCACCUGAGAUCCACCAAUAGCAAACCACAACCAUCUAAUCAAUUCCCCAUGGACAAAAUCAAGUCCCACCUACUUUUUUUUUUCUCGUUUCAGAAGCCGUUUCAAUAGGGACAUUAUGGAACAAACAAUUAUAUGUCACAAUAUGGAAGAAAAGGCUAUCGCAACUUCUGUUUCAUGCUGACUUUAAUACCAACCUAACUAGAAAGAUUUCAUUUGAUAGAAAACAUAAUUGUGAUCUAGUCGCAUUGUCCAAACCUGUGUUACUUUUUCUUUGUAAACAGGCCUACGCCAGCUUGAUGAAGCUAGCGAAUGAUGAACACAAGAUGCUAAGUGCACUGGGUCGUGUGUGUGUGUGUGUGUGUGUGUACCAUAACCUUUUACUAUAUGUAAAUCGUGCUGUUUU